rnacentral:lncRNA from 1 species
UGGCAUAUUCAAACUCUUGGACUUCAAUUAUCUCACCUUAACUAAAAAAGGAGAGAUUAAUCAACAAACAAGCUUAGCUUUGUGUUUUAUUCGUCUAUUUCAUUUGUUAAGUCAUCAUCCUUGGUCACUAGGAUGCAGUUUAGAAGCAAGUCUAUAAAAAAGGAAAAUAGCAGGGAGUAUUCCAAGUUAAUUCAGUACUAG